AACUGUGGAUUGAAUUUUUGUUUUAGCAUACAAACAUCUAUUGCUGCUUUGACUAGAUUCACUCUACGUGCUAUAUUUCUCAGAUUAUUUUCCUUUCAAACUCAUUAUAGGUCUAAAAGGGUGCUUGAACUUGGAGCUGGUUACGGAUUGGCGGGACUUGUUAUUGCAGCCAGAGCAAAUGCUGGCGAGGUUGUUAUUUCUGAUGGAAACCCACAAGUAGUUGGAUAUAUCCAGCAGAACAUAUCCAUCAAUGCAGAAACUUCUGGUCAAACGAAAGUUAAACCUAUGACACUGCACUGGGAUCAAGAGCAAGCUUCAGAC
rnacentral:rRNA from 1 species